rnacentral:piRNA from 1 species
UAACUGGUUUAGGCCUUCAGGUGACUUGA